UCUAUAACUCAAGUCUUGAAAAGCUUGACCCUCUUUUUCGCGUUUUGCAUCCUUGUCAUUCUCGGACUCUUUUGUCAAUCAUCAAAACAAAAAUAUUCCUGUCAAGGCAUAUAUUCACAUUCUCCCCCUUUUUGAUGAUGACAAACAUCUCUUGGUGGGAUUUGCUCAAUAAAGGGGUUAGGAUAAAAUUAAUCAAUAAUAAAGUAUAUAUUAGAGAUAAGCGCAAAAUAUUCUCCCCCUUUCUAUAUGCAAACAUUUACAAACUACUCCCCCUGAAACAUGCAAAUCACACAACUCUCCCCCUUUUGGCAUUAUCAAAAAGCGGGAAAGAAAUAAUCAUGGCAAGACAUAUAUUCACGAAAAAUAAAUAAAUAAAAAGGAUAGUAAAGUGAAAAGAGUAAAACAUUUUUGCUUUCUUGAAUUUGCAAUUUCUUUUUGGAGAAUUUUCAAUAACAUCACCUUGCGAUGCAUAAACUUUUUUUUUUUUUGUGAUAAAAAGGACAACUCAUUUUUCUCCCAUGCCAUGUGCUUUGAAUAGCCAAUAAAGAUAUACGAUUUGAGUUCUUGGGCUCCAAGCACACCUACUACAAAAAUCAAAUUUUGGCUUUUGGUACCCAAAUCAUUUUGGGUCCUUGAGAGUUAGCUUUAGGCAAAGUGCCAU
rnacentral:lncRNA from 1 species